AGGCAGACAGGCAGGCACACAGGCAUACAGGCCGGCAUACAGACAGGUAUGCAGACAGAAUGUCAUAAAGACUGACAUACAGACAGACAGUCAGACAGACAUACAAACAAACAGACAGACAGACAGACUGACAUACAUACAAACUGACAUGCAAACAUACAGACUGACAGACAGACAGACAGACUGACAUACAUACAAGCUGACAUACA